rnacentral:rRNA from 1 species
AACGAACGCUGGCGGCAUGCCUAACACAUGCAAGUCGAACGAGACCUUCGGGUCUAGUGGCGAACGGGUGCGUAACGCGUGGGAAUCUGCCCUUGGGUUCGGAAUAACAGUUGGAAACGACUGCUAAUACCGGAUGAUGACGUAAGUCCAAAGAUUUAUCGCCCAGGGAUGAGCCCGCGUAGGAUUAGCUAGUUGGUGGGGUAAAGGCCUACCAAGGCGACGAUCCUUAGCUGGUCUGAGAGGAUGAUCAGCCACACUGGGACUGAGACACGGCCCAGACUCCUACGGGAGGCAGCAGUGGGGAAUAUUGGACAAUGGGCGGAAGCCUGAUCCAGCAAGGCCGCGUGAGUGAUGAAGGCCUUAGGGUUGUAAAGCUCUUUUACCCGGGAUGAUAAUGACAGUACCGGGAGAAUAAGCCCCGGCUAACUCCGUG